rnacentral:rRNA from 1 species
CCCUUAGAUGUCCGGGGCCGCACGCGCGCUACACUGAAGGAAUCAGCGUGGCUUACUCCCUGACCCGAAAGGGUUGGGAAACCCGUUGAAUCUCCUUCGUGAUAGGGAUUGGGGCUUGAAAUUGUUCCCCAUGAACGAGGAAUUCCCAGUAAGCGCGAGUCAUAAGCUCGCGUUGAUUACGUCCCUGCCCUUUGUACACACCGCCCGUCGCUACUACCGAUUGAACGGUUUAGUGAGGGCCUCGGAUUGGUCUCGGCCCGCUCUUUACCGGGCGGCGCCGUUGGUCGAGAAGACGCUCGAACUUGAUCGUUUAGAGGAAGUAAAAGUCGUAACA